rnacentral:tRNA from 1 species
GCGGGUGUCGUACAGUGGUAGUACACCGGUCUCCAAAACCGGCGACGUAGGUUCGAUUCCUGCCACCCGUGCAA